CAGUCGCCACGGGAAUACGUAGGGUGCAAGCGUUAAUCGGAAUUACUGGGCGUAAAGCGUGCGCAGGCGGUUCGGAAAGAAAGAUGUGAAAUCCCAGGGCUCAACCUUGGAACUGCAUUUUUAACUACCGGACUAGAGUGUGUCAGAGGGAGGUGGAAUUCCACGUGUAGCAGUGAAAUGCGUAGAUAUGUGGAGGAACACCGAUGGCGAAGGCAGCCUCCUGGGAUAACACUGACGCUCAUGCACGAAAGCGUGGGGAGCAAACAGGAUUAGAUACCCGUGUAGUCCCUGUCUCUUAUAC
rnacentral:rRNA from 1 species